UGUGACCAUGCUACCUUGAACAUGACGAUCCCCUCUGAUCUCCGGAGCUAAGCAGGGCUAGAUGUGCUUAGUUCUUGAAUAGAAGGAAAAAAAAAAUCACAAAAA
rnacentral:rRNA from 1 species